rnacentral:misc_RNA from 1 species
AAAUGCGAUAAGUAAUGUGAAUUGCAGAAUUCAGUGAAUCAUCGAAUCUUUGAACGCACAUUGCGCCCGCCAGUAUUCUGGCGGGCAUGCCUGUCCGAGCGUCAUUUCAACCAUCAAGCCCCCGGGCUUGUGUUGGGGACCUGCGGCUGCCCGCAGGCCCUGAAAACCAGUGGCGGGCUCGCUGUCACACCGAGCGUAGUAGCAAUCACCUCGCUCAGGGCGUGCUGCGGGUUCCGGCCGUUAAACAGCCUUACAAAACCCAAGGUUGACCUCGGAUCAGGUAGGAAGAUCCGCUGAACUUAAGC